GACGAACGCUGGCGGCGUGCUUAACACAUGCAAGUCGAACGGAAAGGCCCUGCUUUUGUGGGGUGCUCGAGUGGCGAACGGGUGAGUAACACGUGAGUAACCUGCCCUUGACUUUGGGAUAACUUCAGGAAACUGGGGCUAAUACCGGAUAGGAGCUCCUGCUGCAUGGUGGGGGUUGGAAAGUUUCGGCGGUUGGGGAUGGACUCGCGGCUUAUCAGCUUGUUGGUGGGGUAGUGGCUUACCAAGGCUUUGACGGGUAGCCGGCCUGAGAGGGUGACCGGCCACAUUGGGACUGAGAUACGGACCAGACUCCUACGGGAGGCAGCAGUGGGGAAUAUGGCACAAUGGGCGGAAGCCUGAUGCAGCAACGCCGCGUGCGGGAUGACGGCCUUCGGGUUGUAAACCGCUUUCGCCGGUGACGAAGCGUGAGUGACGGUAAUGGGUAAAGAAGCACCGGCUAACUACGUG
rnacentral:rRNA from 1 species